rnacentral:rRNA from 1 species
UGAGGAAUAUUGGGCAAUGCCCGCAAGGGUGACCCAGCAACGCCGCGUGGAGGAUGAAUGUCGUAAGAUUGUAAACUCCUGUUAGAGGGGAAGAAUAGUACCGGUUGGACCGGUAUAUGACUGUACCCUCAGAGAAAGCCCCGGCUAACUACGUGCCAGCAGCCGCGGUCAUACGUAGGGGGCAAGCGUUGUCCGGAUUUACUGGGUGUAAAGGGCGCGCAGGCGGGACAAAAAGUCAGUGGUGAAAUCCUACAGCUUAACUGUAGAACUGCCUUGGAUACUUUUAUUCUUGAGUUCGGGAGAGAGAGACGGAAUUCCAGGUGUAGUGGUGAAAUACGUAGACAUCUGGAAGAACACCAGUUGCGAAGGCGGUCUCUUGGUCCGACACUGACGCUGAGGCGCGAAAGCGUGGGGAGCAAACA